rnacentral:lncRNA from 1 species
GGGUAAACAAAUGGAAGAAUUAUAACUUGAAAUGUGGCAUUUCCAUGUGAAUUUUAACUUAACCGCUAGCAACUUGAAUCAUAGCUAAACCAAAUGCUCCUUCUGUUCAAGAGAAAGUAGAUCUUCUUGUUAAAAAUAUUCCUGUUAAUUGAUAGCUUGAGAACAAAGUUUUUUUUCUCUAUUUUUCUUUUUGAGAUUAAGAGGGACUAAUCCCCACCUUCUAUCUUAUAUACCCAUCCAACCCCUCGAUGAUAGCCGGAAUCAAACCAUCGAGGCAGUAAGGGACGAUAUUGUCCAAGCAAGCUCAAUGAUAGCUUAAAGAUAUAGUUACCUAGGACUCUAUAAACUAUAUGAUACAAUUGCCCAUGAUAAUCCUAACCAACCAUCACCAGUAUUGUAAACUGUAAUCUUUUUUUAACCAAGGGUGAUUGUACAAUACAUGCAAUCUUGAAAAAUAAGAGACAUCUCUUUGCACUACUAAUUCUACUCAAGGGUACAAUAUAUCUAACUAUCAAUAUAUAUAUAUAUAUAUAUAUAUAUAUAUCAAUAUAUAUAUCUCUUCUUUGGUACAAAAGAUAGCGAGUUGGUUGAGUCCAAUGUACAUUUUCGUGUAUUUUCGAACAAGUAUACACAAGGGAUGCUCAAAUAUUCUUUUCUGACCGAUCCAAGUCUUCAAAUGCUAUUGUAUUUAUUUAUAUAUAUAACCCCCAUGUUAGCUUGGUGUAGGGGGAGUAAGGCUGAUCUUCUUGAAAAAUUCUGUUUUCGGUUAAUUCUAGUGAAAAAACUUGUUAAUUCUUGUUCUAUAAAUAAAUGCACCAUUCAUCUAGCAUGCAUGUUACUUUUUUCUGGAAGUUCACCAGCUACGGGCUAAGAGACAAUAAGGAAGGGAAAUUUUUUUAGAAAAAAAAAAACCUCUAAUUGUUUGUUUCCUAGGGUCUGUGAAUUCAACUGUAUGAAACAAGGGGCCGGUGUUCCUUUUCCUCCUGUUUCUUCCGGAAGUGGACGUACUCCUGGCACGAUCCAAACUCCCCAUUUACAUUUCCAAAAAGAAGAGCAAUAAAUAGAUGGGCCCCAAGGCCCAAGGAGCUCCAUACACGGAUACUUCCGGACGCGCACAUACCAGU